rnacentral:rRNA from 1 species
AGUGAACGCUGGCGGUAGGCCUAACACAUGCAAGUCGAACGGCAGCACAGUAAGAGCUUGCUCUUACGGGUGGCGAGUGGCGGACGGGUGAGGAAUACAUCGGAAUCUACUUUUUCGUGGGGGAUAACGUAGGGAAACUUACGCUAAUACCGCAUACGACCCACGGGUGAAAGCAGGGGGUCUUCGGACCUUGCGCGAUUGAAUGAGCCGAUGUCGGAUUAGCUAGUUGGCGGGGUAAAGGCCCACCAAGGCGACGAUCCGCAGCUGGUCUGAGAGGAUGAUCAGCCACACUGGAACUGAGACACGGUCCAGACUCCUACGGGAGGCAGCAGUGGGGAAUAUUGGACAAUGGGCGCAAGCCUGAUCCAGCCAUACCGCGUGGGUGAAGAAGGCCUUCGGGUUGUAAAGCCCUUUUGUUGGGAAAGAAAAGCAGCAGGUUAAUACCCCGCUGUUCUGACGGUACCCAAAGAAUAAGCACCGGCUAACUUCGUG